CGGCGGGCGGCGCGGAGGCUGCGCGGGUGAGGGGCGUGCGCGGGGCCCGCUGCCGACAGGCGCCGCCGGGAGCCGGGCCCGGGAGGUGCCCGCGGGCCGGAGCCGCAGCAGGAAGCCGCAUGUGGAAACACCAACAACAAACAGAGAGAGAGAGAAAGCAGCUUUUAAAACACCACAAAACAAGUAACUACAAGGGAACGGACAGACAUGCAGAGCCUGCCCCGUAACACCGGCUCUCACUGUGGCCAUGAAUGGCUUCCAGGUUCAAAAGCAGGAACAGAUUGCUACUUGGAGCCGGAGCAAACCGUGUAUGAUCCGUGCACAAACCCUCACAGUGUCCUGCCCGCUCUUGGAGCCAUGGAAUGAGCCAGAGAAAACUGCCUUGGGCCCAGGGUGAUGAAUGUGUCAAGAUGCUUCAGUGUAUACUGCCCACAGAUAAGAAAUUCAGCUCAAAGAGCUGUUGAAAGGGGCUGAAACACAGUCACUGAAGUGGUCCUGGCAUGCAGCUCAGGAAGAUGGACACACACAGCCAUCUUCUGCAUUAUUUGAAGGUUCGACGGAAACUAGGGCUCUGUGUACUGUCCUCUCCCUACUUUACUCACGGGCUGGAAUUUUUCCCAGAAAAAGGCAGUCGACUCGGAGAAAGUCACCAGACCAGUGACUAGCCUGGAGCCGAGAAGAUCUGCCCAGGGCGCUGAGGCUCCACCGUCCACCCCAGGCCUCUCUGGUGCACCCUCAGACCUCUGGUGCUCCCCGCAGCCCCUGAGGUGCCUUGUAAGGAGGACAAGGAGGACAAGGAAAUAAAUGGAGAAGAGGCCCCAUGGGUGUGACUUGUUGGCUGGUAGUGGGUGUGAAGUGGAGGCCCCAGGGGCAGCUCAGGGAAGAGCCAUAGAUAGGUUCUUUGCAAAUAGGGACACCUUUAGGGGACUUGAAUCCGAACACACCUGUAUCUUCCUGGAAGUGUAUGAUAUGGGCCUGGACCCUGCAGUUGCUUCCAAGUCUGCAUGCCUGAGGCUCUCCAGCACCUUCCCGGUGCCCCGGCUGGGCCCGGCGCCCUGUGCCAGCAAGGCCAGCCAGGCUGGGGCUGGGGCUGGGGCUGAAGCCCAAGGUGAGCCGUCCAGAGACCUGGCUAUGGCACGGAGGUGGGGUUUCUGCUGGAUCAGAGCUCCAGUGUCUCCCCAGGGUAUAGACGGUGUCUGGCUCACUGUGGGCGUCCAAAUGUGUUCGCCAAAGUACUUGAGAGGCCCUUGCCACAGGGAGAGCUUCAGCAUCGGGCUCCGGGCGGCCCCUGGGUCGGCUCGUGCCCUGGGAGUUGGUGAGCAUGGUCCUGCCCUUGCCUCCCUCCCCUUCUCACACGAGCUGCACACAUUCUUACACACUCAUGCACCCACACACUCAAAUAACCAGAAUCUCUCCCCCCGACACACACACACGUGCUCGUAUGCAUGCUCUGUUCCCCAGGAUUUUGCAGUAUUUGGCUGAAUACUGGGGUGGUGUGUGGCCGAGCACCCGACCUCUCACGGGAGGUGCCAUUAUAUCCUGGGAAAAACACCAUUAGGUGCACACCCCAGGGCGAGUGAGCUGAUCCUCCUAGAAAGGAGUGAUUGAUGCCAGUGAGGGACAAGGGUAGGGCAUUUCUGACCCCUUUUCUGCCAAGCUGUCAGAGCCAGGUUCCUCUCAGAGCUUGCUGCAGGGGGUGGGAUCACCACUUUGUUCCCAGUGCCUCUGGGUUUAUGCUUUCUCUCAGUGGUGCCUUUGGCUGACCCGCAGUCGUGUGCUAUCCAGUAUGGUAGCUGCCAGCCACGUGCUGCCAGUCGGGGUGGAGGUGUGCUGUGCGUGACUACACGCACCGGGUUUUUACAGAUGUGUUCUGAAAGAAGGUGCGUAAAAUACCUCGCUAUCAUUUCUAAAAUACUGAUGUCAUGUUGAAAUGAUUCUAUUUAUUGGGUUCAUUGGGUAUAUUGGGUAAAAUGAUAUAUUGGGUAAAUAAAAUACAUUAUUGAUAUUAAUUUCACUUGCUUCUUACUUUUUAAAAAUGUAGCGAUUAGGAAAUUUAAAAUGACCCACACGGCUCGUAUUUGUGGCUCGCAUUACAUUUCUGUAGGGUGACCUCAGGUCUCUGCUCUGAUCCUUCAGGAGACAGAAGAAGGAAAAGCAGAUGAAGAUGCUGAGCACCUGGUUCGGGGGGAGGCUGGCAGGCCCGCCCUGUGUUACAGUUGCUUUUCUCACAUAAUGUAUUAUCAAAGCCUCUUUUCUUCUGUGAGAAUGCUGGUGGGGGCAGAGGGGCAUUACAUUGUAUGUAUUUUACUGCUUGAUUCAUUUUCUUUUCAUUUUAACUUUAAUUCUGUCUAAUUACUGUAUUGUGAUCUCAGCAAUCUUCAAUGAACCUCAAGUAACUUUUGAAGAAUCUUGCUACAAAUGUGGGAUAGUGCUGAGAUGCAGAUUGCAUAGGUCAUUGCAUGAUGUCUACACUCCGCUGAAGCAACCCCUUUCCUGUUAUUUUCAAAUCUGAGGUCAGCAUUUUGGUGCUUUCCUGCUUUAUUGUUCCCCAGGCAAGGUGCCACCACCAGGGCAAGCUGAGGCAAAACAAAUGAAUUCACACCCAGUGGAAAUGCUUUCUACUAAGCAAGACUGAAAUUCCAGAUUUCUUAUUUCUAUGACUGAUCAUAGCUUAAAAAGUCUGUGGAGUCACACCUCCAUCAAGGAGAUUAUAAUAAAACGUAUUUACAAGUUUUUUAUUUUAAAUAAGGUAUUUUAAAAUGUCUCCAUUAACACUUUAGAGACAAGAUUUCUAGAAAUAAAAUUUUAAAACUCAGAAAUUAUAUUUCAUCAUUUGAUGAUAGCAAGAGGAUUGCUCCAAGAAUGUUGUUUUUAAUAAACUCAGUGUAACGGCAACACAAAAAUUCUGCAUGCAUGUACACUUGGUAUACACACAUUGUGUUUUUAAUGUAC